rnacentral:misc_RNA from 1 species
AAGCCAAUCAAGUAUUGGCUUACUGUAGUCAGUAGCAGAAGGAUGCCUGAAAUCAUUGCAAAAGACAUCCUCCACGAGGAAAAAGCCCGAAGGAUCAUUUUUGCCUGUCUUUUUCAUUAUCUCAUCAGUAAUGCAAUAAAUCUUGUCUCUCAUUUCUGUCAAAAAUUGCCGCCCAAGAACCAGAAAUUCUUGUGUUUUUGUCCAUGUCUUUUUGUAAUGAUAAAUCUCAACACACAGGAUAGCUUCUGGAAACUGCAAUGCAAUAUGUUCACGAGUAUUUACUGCUCUCACCUUUGUUCCCAAGCUUCCUGACUUGAGUGAUAUCAUCCUACCACUCUUACUGGAGGAUGUUGGAGCAGAGUGGCUGCUGCUACAACUACCAUUGAAAGAGUGCAAUCG